ensembl:lncRNA
GGUGCUUUUGUUCAUUUUGGAGAAAGUGACUUUUUACGGAUCCGUCUAAUGACUCAAUUAGAACUGGAAGUCUCUCUGCUCAUCGGGGGGGGGGCAUUGUCACACUGGGGGGGGGGCAUUGUCUUAAUGUCACGCUGCCUCCCUCCCCCCUCUGUGUGUGCGUGUGUGUGAAUCCCGCUAAUGGAAAGUUUACGGGUACCUCCACUCUCAGGAUGCUUCCUACUUCCCAUAGCGGAAACGUGCUAACGCUAGUUGAUGCUAACGUAAAUCUCCACCUCUCCAGGGGACGAGUGUCACUUCUACAUGACGUUUAACCACGGCGAGCUCCAGACCGUGGAGGAAGAACAUCUGGAGCCUUGGGUGAGCAGAACCCAAACAGCUGGAUCACGCUACACUGUGAUUGGCCGGUCGACGUCUCCAAGGGCGGGACUUAAGAACCCAGCCGCUCUGCCGGCCCCUGGACCAGCGGGGCCUCCGAGUCCUGUGGACUGAGCGGGGACACAGAGUGGGGUCCAUCGGAGAGACUCCUCAGGGUGUUGGAGAGGACCUGGCAGGCUGACAUUCUCCCAGAUCUUCCUUUUUUACCGCGAGCACACCUGGAAUCAGCCCUCAUCGCUCAUGGGGGCCAGAAACACAAAGCGGCCCUCAAGAAGUCCAAAUGAGACGCUUUCAUCAAGCAAACAGAAACCAGACAAAGAGAGAGAGAUGAGAA